GUGGGGAAUAUUGGACAAUGGGCGAAAGCCUGAUCCAGCCAUGCCGCGUGUGUGAAGAAGGUCUUCGGAUUGUAAAGCACUUUAAGUUGGGAGGAAGGGUAGUAACCUAAUACGUUGCUACUUUGACGUUACCGACAGAAUAAGCACCGGCUAACUUCGUGCCAGCAGCCGCGGUAAUACGAAGGGUGCAAGCGUUAAUCGGAAUUACUGGGCGUAAAGCGCGCGUAGGUGGUUCAGUAAGUUGGAAGUGAAAUCCCCGGGCCCAACCUGGGAACUGCUUUCAAAACUGCUGAGCUAGAGUACGGUAGAGGGUGGUGGAAUUUCCUGUGUAGCGGUGAAAUGCGUAGAUAUAGGAAGGAACACCAGUGGCGAAGGCGACCACCUGGACUGAUACUGACACUGAGGUGCGAAAGCGUGGGGAGCAAACAGGAUUAGAAACCCGUGUAGUCC
rnacentral:rRNA from 1 species